GUGGGGAAUAUUGGACAAUGGGCGAAAGCCUGAUCCAGCCAUGCCGCGUGAGUGAUGAAGGCCUUAGGGUUGUAAAGCUCUUUCAGUAGGGAAGAUAAUGACGGUACCUACAGAAGAAGCCCCGGCUAACUUCGUGCCAGCAGCCGCGGUAAUACGAAGGGGGCUAGCGUUGUUCGGAUUUACUGGGCGUAAAGCGCACGUAGGCGGAUUGGUCAGUUAGGGGUGAAAUCCCAGAGCUCAACUCUGGAACUGCCCUUAAUACUGCCAAUCUAGAGUCCGGAAGAGGUGAGUGGAACUCCUAGUGUAGAGGUGGAAUUCGUAGAUAUUAGGAAGAACACCAGUGGCGAAGGCGGCUCACUGGUCCGGUACUGACGCUGAGGUGCGAAAGCGUGGGGAGCAAACAGGAUUAGAAACCCGAGUAGUCC
rnacentral:rRNA from 1 species